AUUGAACGCUGGCGGUAUGCUUAACACAUGCAAGUCGAACGAUGAGAAAGAGCUUGCUCUUUCGAUUAGUGGCGGACGGGUGCGUAACGCGUAGGAAUCUACCUAUUAGUGGGGGACAACUUAGGGAAACUUAAGCUAAUACCGCAUACGCCCUACGGGGGAAAGAAGGGGAUCGCAAGACCUUUUGCUAAUAGAUGAGCCUGCGUAGGAUUAGCUAGUUGGUGGGGUAAAAGCUCACCAAGGCGACGAUCCUUAACUGGUUUGAGAGAAUGAUCAGUCACACUGGAACGGAGACACGGUCCAGACUCCUACGGGAGGCAGCAGUGGGGAAUAUUGGACAAUGGGCGAAAGCCUGAUCCAGCAAUAUCGCGUGUGUGAAGAAGGCCUUAGGGUUGUAAAGCACUUUCAAUUGGAAGGAAAACCUCGAAGCUAAUACCUUCGAGUUUGACAUUACCUUUAGAAGAAGCACCGGCUAACUCCGUGCCAGCCGCCGCAGUAA
rnacentral:rRNA from 1 species